CCUACGGGGGGCUGCAGUGAGGAAUAUUGGUCAAUGGACGAGAGUCUGAACCAGCCAAGUCGCGUGAAGGAUGACUGCCCUCUGGGUUGUAAACUUCUUUUAUAUGGGAAUAAAAUGUUCCACGUGUGGGAUUUUGUAUGUACCAUAUGAAUAAGGAUCGGCUAACUCCGUGCCAGCAGCCGCGGUAAUACGGAGGAUCCGAGCGUUAUCCGGAUUUAUUGGGUUUAAAGGGAGCGUAGGUGGAUUGUUAAGUCAGUUGUGAAAGUUUGCGGCUCAACCGUAAAAUUGCAGUUGAAACUGGCAGUCUUGAGUACAGUAGAGGUAGGCGGAAUUCGUGGUGUAGCGGUGAAAUGCGUAGAUAUCACGAAGAACUCCGAUUGCGAAGGCAGUUCACUGGACUGCAACUGACACUGAGGCUCGAAAGUGUGGGUAUCAAACAGGAUUAGAUACCCGAGUAGUC
rnacentral:rRNA from 1 species